CUUAUAUUAGUUCUCUUCUUGUCAUCCAAGGCAGAGGUUGAAACCUUAAUUUGUCUGACUCCAAAACCCAUGCUCUAUGACGUAAUAAAUAGAGGACUCAUCACUAGAAUAACUAAAAUUCCAGAUGCUACUUUGAAAUAAGAAGCAAGAAAAUGAGUUUCCAGGGAGCCCAAGAAUUGUGCAAACCAUCAACCAUCAAUUCUAGAACAUUUUCAUUACUCCAAAAGAACUUCUGAUUCAUUAGCAGUCACUCCUCAUUUUCCCCCACCAUACCACCUCAAGCCCAAGCAACCACUAUUGUACUUUUUAUCUUCAUAGAUUGGAACA